CGGCCGCGCCGGCCCUGGCUCGCAUCAGUCAGGAAGCUGUUGCUCACCUCCAGCCGGUGCAAAUGCACCACCUGGAAAUUGCCCACGUAGACAGCCCAGUGCGGGUAUUGCGCUUGCGAUACAAACUCCACCAGGUCACCCGGACUGCACUUGUUGAGCAAGUUCUCCGGUGUGUAGGUGCUCAGAGCCGCCGAUCCCGGCGCGAAGCUUUUCUGAUAGAUGCACUCAUCACGAUAAAACACCGAGCAUUCCACCUCGUGCUGCCGCGGGUCGUAGGGCUGCGCCCCUGGGGCGGUGGCUGAGGUUCCACAUCCUCGUCGUCAUUGGAGAAAAUAUAAGAGACUCCGAUGCGGGGCCCAUCAUCUCGAUCCACGCCGGUCGGGUCGGCCGUGGGAACUUCCUUAUAACUUAGGUGGGUCAGUUUUUCCACCUGGUUGCCCAUAACGCUGUGGACGCUCGUUCACAAGACUUCAAGAGGAGAAAGCG
ensembl:processed_transcript 9930014A18Rik RIKEN cDNA 9930014A18 gene